rnacentral:rRNA from 1 species
CCUACGGGAGGCAGCAGUGAGGAAUAUUGGUCAAUGGCCGGAAGGCUGAACCAGCCAUGCCGCGUGAAUGUCAGUGCCCUAUGGGCGUUAAACUUCUUUUGUGCGGGAGCAAUAAUGGUCACGUGUGGCCAGACGAGAGUACCGUACGAAACAGCAUCAGCUACCUCCGUGCCAGCAGCCGCGGUAAUACGGGGGAUGCAAGCGUUAUCCGGAUUUAUUGGGUUUAAAGGGUGCGUAGGCUGGGAGGUAAGUCAGCGGUGAAAUGCCCCCGCUCAACGGGGUGAAGUGCCAUUGAUACUGGGUUGCUGGAAUGCGGAUGCCGUGGGAGGAAUGUGUGGUGUAGCGGUGAAAUGCAUAGAUAUCACACAGAACACCGAUUGCGAAGGCAUCUCACGAAUCCGCGAUUGACGCUGAUGCACGAAAGCGUGGGUAUCAAACAGGAUUAGAUACCCGUGUAGUC